rnacentral:rRNA from 1 species
CACGUAGGGUGCAAGCGUUGUCCGGAAUUUAUUGGGCGUAAAGGGCUCGUGAGGCGGUCCGUCACGUCGGGAGUGAAAACUCGGGGCUCAACCCCGAGCCUGCUUUCGAUACGGGCGGACUAGAGGUAGGUAGGGGAGAACGGAAUUCCUGGUGUAGCGGUGGAAUGCGCAGAUAUCAGGAGGAACACCGGUGGCGAAGGCGGUCUCUGGGCCUUACCUGACGCUGAGGAGCGAAAGCGUGGGGAGCGAACAGG